GACGAACGCUGGCGGCGUGCUUAACACAUGCAAGUCGGACGAAGAGCGAUGGAAGCUUGCUUCUAUCAAUCUUAGUGGCGAACGGGUGAGUAACGCGUAAUCAACCUGCCCUUCAGAGGGGGACAACAGUUGGAAACGACUGCUAAUACCGCAUACGAUCUAACCUCGGCAUCGAGGAUAGAUGAAAGGUGGCCUCUACAUGUAAGCUAUCACUGAAGGAGGGGAUUGCGUCUGAUUAGCUAGUUGGAGGGGUAACGGCCCACCAAGGCGAUGAUCAGUAGCCGGUCUGAGAGGAUGAACGGCCACAUUGGGACUGAGACACGGCCCAGACUCCUACGGGAGGCAGCAGUGGGGAAUCUUCCGCAAUGGACGAAAGUCUGACGGAGCAACGCCGCGUGAGUGAUGACGGCCUUCGGGUUGUAAAGCUCUGUUAAUCGGGACGAAAGGCCUUCUUGCGAAUAGUGAGAAGGAUUGACGGUACCGGAAUAGAAAGCCACGGCUAACUACGUG
rnacentral:rRNA from 1 species